AGGGUUUGAUCAUGGCUCAGGACGAACGCUGGCGGCAUGCCUAACACAUGCAAGUCGAACGGAGUUUAAUUGACAGAAGCCUUCGGGCAGAAGACGAUUAAACUUAGUGGCGGACGGGUGAGUAACGCGUGGAUAACCUGCCUUAUAGAGGGGGACAACAGUUGGAAACGACUGCUAAUACCGCAUAAGGUCUCGAGACCGCAUGAUCUUGAGAAGAAAGAUGGCCUCUGAAAAGGCUAUCGCUAUAAGAUGGAUCCGCGUCUGAUUAGCUAGUUGGUGAGGUAACGGCUCACCAAGGCAACGAUCAGUAGCCGGCCUGAGAGGGUGAACGGCCACAUUGGGACUGAGACACGGCCCAA
rnacentral:rRNA from 1 species